CAUGUAAAAUACAUAUAAGAACCAAGUUUAUUACAGAGUUGGUGUGCAAGAAGAGCUGGAGUAGACACUUAAUUCCUAUCAUAACUUACUGAUUGAAAAUUGUACAUCAGAUUUAUUAUUUCUUGAUUUAAAGAUUAUGGAGUAAUGCACCCAUGUAAAUAUUUUAACGUAUAAUUAGGAUUUGUUUCUAAAAGGCAAUAGUUUGUCAUAAAAAUAUGUUCAUUGAGAGAUAUUCUAACAGCUGGUUUUGAGUAGGUGUUUUAAGAGAGCAUAAUUGAACACAAUAUAUUUCCUUUAAAUACUAAAGGAACAUGGAUAUU
rnacentral:lncRNA from 1 species